GUAGAUCUAAACAAUUCAGCAUGAGCAUUCUUACCAUUGACAUAGUUCACCAUCCACUGUACUUCUUUUGUCCAUUCCAUAGCGUUUCGAUUGUAACCUUGCUAGCUCAACAAUUUGUUCCAAACAGCAGCAGAAAAGGAACAUUUAAAGAACAGGUGCUCAGUGGAUUCCUCAUUUUCUUCACAUAAAUGGCAGACAUUCCAAUCAAUCAUCAUCCACUUCAAC
rnacentral:lncRNA from 1 species